rnacentral:rRNA from 1 species
UACGAAGGGGGCUAGCGUUGCUCGGAAUCACUGGGCGUAAAGGGUGCGUAGGCGGGUCUUUUAAGUCAGGGGUGAAAUCCUGGAGUCAACUCCAGAACUGCCUUUGAUACUGAAGAUCUUGAGUUCGGGAGAGGUGAUGGAACUGCGAGUGUAGAGGUGAAAAUUCGUAGAUAUUCGCAAGAACACCAGUGGCGAAGGCGGCUCACUGGCC